GGGGGUGUAGCUCAGUUGGCAGAGCGCUACGUUCGCAAUGUAGAGGUCAGGGGUUCGAUUCCCCUCACCUCCACCG
rnacentral:tRNA from 1 species